rnacentral:rRNA from 1 species
UACGAAGGGGGCUAGCGUUGCUCGGAAUUACUGGGCGUAAAGCGCACGUAGGCGGCUUUCUAAGUCGGGGGUGAAAUCCUGGAGCUCAACUCCAGAACUGCCUUUGAUACUGAAGAUCUUGAGUUCGGGAGAGGUGAGUGGAACUGCGAGUGUAGAGGUGAAAUUCGUAGAUAUUCGCAAGAACACCAGUGGCGAAGGCGGCUCACUGGCCCGAUACUGACGCUGAGGCACGAAAGCGUGGGGAGCAAACAGGG